GGCCGACCUGGCGGCGGAGGCGGAUGCGGGCCUGGGGCGGGAUCUGGUGGCGGAGCUGCGGGGCCGCGACGGGCGGACACGGACGGUGCGGGUGCCGUACCCGGCGGCGGAGGAGGGCGAGGCCGCCCAGCUGCGCGGGCUCCGGGGGGCCCUGAGCGAGCUGCAGGAGCGGGUGGUGGAGCUGCUGGCGCCGCUGGUGCAGGAGGAGCGGGCGGCGGCGGACGGCGCGCGGCGCGGUGGUGGCGGGGAUGACGACGACUACGAUGACGACGAGGAGGAUGAAGGCGAAGACGAAAACAACGUGGACGCGGCGGCGAGCGCCGAUGACCCUCCCCUGAAACGGACGAAGGUGCAGCAGCCGUGAGGGCGGCGCUGGAGGCCGGGUGUGCGCCUAGACAGUCCCGUUCGGCUGUACCGACUGUAAGUGUCCCGGGCCCGCUGCACGGGCCGGCUCCUGCCGCGCUGCUGCUCCUGUUUAAAUGCGGAAUGUCCAUCCCGACACCGUUUUAAUACGGAAGCCUUUCCGAAAGGAUGCGCCUGUGUGUGAGCAGCGUGUUGCUUACGGGGUGCCAGUGUGAUGCUGACGCCAGUUUUUUGGUUAACUAGUUGACAAGUAUAAAAGUUUUCUCACAAAUCUUCUGAUUGGUAUGUUUUUUAAUAACUUAUUCCGAGUCACAGUAUUUCUUCAUGUGACACAACGUUUAAAAUAAAGCAAUAAAACCUAAAAAGA